rnacentral:misc_RNA from 1 species
UCCGAGUUGACCCCGGCAGUCUCCCAUGAGUCCCCAACUUAAUGCUGGCAACACGCCACGGGGGUUGCGCUCGUUGCGGGACUUAACCCAACAUCUCACGACACGAGCUGACGACAGCCAUGCAGCAUCUGUGGUGCACCCUCGAAGGUCACACGUUUCCGUGCGCUUGCAGCACCAUGUCAAGUCCAGGUAAGGUUCUUCGCGUUGCAUCGAAUUAAAGAACAUGCUCCGCUGCUUGUGCGGGCCCCCGUCAAUUCUUUUGAGUUUUAGCCUUGCGGCCGUACUCCCCAGGCGGAACACUUAACGCGUUGGCUUCGGCACAGGGGGAUUCGACUCCCCCCACACCUAGUGUUCAUCGUUUACGGCAUGGACUAC